rnacentral:tRNA from 1 species
GGGAAUGUAGCUUAGAGGUAGAGUGCUUGCCUAGCAUGCAUGAAGCCGUGGGUUCGAUUCCUCAAUACCA